AUUUACUUGCAUUUAUUGAGUUAUUUUAUUUGAAAUAUCAUUUUACUUAGUAUAUUAAAGAAAAGUUUUAUUGAGUGAUAGUUAAUUAGUAUUGUAAAAGAAUGUGUGAAAUAUAUUAAAUAUUUUGUUUAUUAAAAGUAAUCUUAAUUUGUUGUACCUUUUGUAUCAGGGUUGAUUUAAAUUAAGUAAAUUAUUUUAUUUUCUCGAUUUCAAAAGAGCUACUUUAUUAAUUUACUUAAUGUGGAAUAAUUAUUAAAAAUAUAAUGUGGUUGGGAUAUCCAAUUCGUUUCUAAAGGUAUCUGGUUUCUUAAUAAUUAAAUUUAAUUUAUUCUUUUGCUUUAAAAUUUUUAUUUAUUAAAAUUUUAUAUCUUAAGUUAAAUAUUAUAGGGGAUAAGCUCUAUAUUAUUUCUAUAAUUUAUAUAAAUUAAUUUUUGUGUAGGGUUAGAAUUAUCCAUCCUUGCAGAGUGUGUUAUAAUUUAGAUUUAAUUUUUUUUUGAUUUUUAUUUAUUUAGAAUUUUAUUAAGAUAAUGGAAUUAAUUUUUUAUUUUAUAAAAUAAUGAUUGAAUUAGUAUAAUAUUUUGUUUAUUAUAUAUGGAAUUGUUAGGAUUUUUAUAAGGAACUCGGCAAAUCUAAUUCUCGCCUGUUUAUCAAAAAACAUGGCCUCUUGAAGUAUAAUAAGAGGUUUGACCUGCCCAGUGAUGAAUUUUAACGGCCGCGGUAUUCUGACCGUGCAAAGGUAGCAUAAUCAUUAGUCUUUUAAAAGGAGGCUGGAAUGAAGGGUUUGACGAAGAAUUGACUGUCUCAUAUUAUAUGAAAUUAAAAUUUAACUUUUUAGUCAAAAGGCUAAAAUAUAAUUGGUAGACGAGAAGACCCUAUAGAGCUUUAUAUUUAUAUUUUAAUAGUAAUAUAUUAUUUUCUGUUAUUAUUUUUAAAUAUUUUGUUGGGGUGACAAAAAUACAUAAUUAACUUUUUUAUUUUUUAUACAUUGAUUUAUGAAUAAUAGAUCCAUUAUUAUUGAUUGAUAGAUUAAGUUACCUUAGGGAUAACAGCGUAAUCCUCUUCCAGAGAUCAAAUUUACGGGAGGGCUUGCGACCUCGAUGUUGGAUUAAGAUAAUAUUUAGGUGUAGCCGCUUAAUAAAUAGGUCUGUUCGACCUUUAAAUUCUUACAUGAUCUGA
rnacentral:rRNA from 1 species